AGGGUUCGAUCCUGGCUCAGGAUGAACGCUGGCGGCGUGCCUAAUACAUGCAAGUCGAACGGGUUGCCAUAAGGCAACCAGUGGCGAACGGGUGAGGAGCACAUGGGGAACCUGCCCGUCAGAGGGGGACAACAGCUGGAAACGGCUGCUAAGACCGCAUAGGCUCAAGGAGGGCAUCCUCGUUGAGUUAAAGUGUCCUUUCGGGGACAGCUGACGGAUGGACCUGUGGCGCAUUAGCCAGUUGGCGGGGUAAAGGCCCACCAAAGCGACGAUGCGUAGCCGGCCUGAGAGGGCGGACGGCCACACUGGGACUGAGACACGGCCCAG
rnacentral:rRNA from 1 species